AGUAACACCUGGAAACAGAUGCUAAUACCGGAUAACAACAGAUGAUGCCUAUCAACUGUUUAAAAGAUGGUUCUGCUAUCACUCUUGGAUGGACCUGCGGUGCAUUAGCUAGUUGGUAGGGUAACGGCCUACCAAGGCGAUGAUGCAUAGCCGAGUUGAGAGACUGAUCGGCCACAUUGGGACUGAGACACGGCCCAAACUCCUACGGGAGGCAGCAGUG
rnacentral:rRNA from 1 species